rnacentral:rRNA from 1 species
AAUAGAUACCCCGGUAGUCCACGCCGUAAACGAUGGAUGCUAGCUAUUGGGGGGAAUCGACCCCCUCCGAAGCGAAGCUAACGCGUUAAGCAUCCCGCCUGAGUAGUACGAGCGCAAGCUUAAAACUCAAAGGAAUUGACGGGGGCCCGCACAAGCGGUGGAGCGUGUGGUUUAAUUCGAUGGUAAACGAAGAACCUUACCAAGGUUUGACAUCCCGGUAGCCGUUCUCCGAAAGGAGAAUUUCAUUUAGUUGGACCGGUGACAGGUGAUGCAUGGCCGUCGUCAGCUCGUGUCGUGAGAUGUUGGGUUAAGUCCCGCAACGAGCGCAACCCUUAUGAUUUAGUUGGAUUUUUCUAAACAGACUGCCCUGGUAACAGGGAGGAAGGAGGGGAUGAUGUCAGGUCAGUAUUUCCCUUACACCUUGGGCGACACACGCGCUACAAUGGCCGGUACAAUGGGCAGCUAAGCCGCGAGGUGGAGCAAAUCCCAUCAAAGCCGGUCCCAGUUCGGAUUGCAGGCUGAAACCCGCCUGCAUGAAGCCGGAAUCGCUAGUAACC